CAGCAGCCGCGGUAACACGAGGGGUGCAAGCGUUGUUCGGAAUCACUGGGCGUAAAGGGUUCGUAGGCGGAUAGGAAAGUCAAAUGUUUAAAACCGGGGCCUAACCCCGGCUAGGUGUUUGAAACUUCCUAUCUUGAAUAGGUCAGAGGUAAGUGGAAUUCUUAGUGUAGCGGUGGAAUGCGUAGAGAUUAAGAAGAACACCAAUUGCGAAGGCAGCUUACUGGGACCAUAUUGACGCUGAUGGACGAAAGUGUGGGUAGCGAACAGGAUUAGAUACCCUGGUAGUCCACACCGUAAACGUUGUUUACUAGAUGUUUGAGAAUUUAUUCUUGGGUAUCGCAGCUAACGCAUUAAGUAAACCGCCUGGGGAGUACGCUCGCAAGAGUGAAACUCAAGGAAUUUGACG
rnacentral:rRNA from 1 species